UGGUCUGGUGCCACGGUUCACUGAGGGCAGGCUGGUGCUGGGGUCCAUGAAAUUGAGUGCUUACUUUACUCUCCUUUUUCCUUGCAGAAGGUAUCUCUCUCUGUGUUCUACACUACACAACAAUGCGUAUUGAAUCAAAAUGAGAAAGGCAGAAAAGAUGCCUUGUACCCAUCAUGCUACUGUGCUUUCUGGCAGGUAAUGACUAAUAAGUACACAGUGUCCUGAGGAAACCACGUGAUAUGUUCCAGUCAUGGUCCCAAAGUC
rnacentral:lncRNA from 1 species